AUUGAACGCUGGCGGAAUGCUUUACACAUGCAAGUCGAACGAUGAACCUUAGCUUGCUAGGGGGAUUAGUGGCGAACGGGGUGAGUAAUAUAUCGGAACGUGCCUUGUAAUGGGGAUAACUAGUCGAAAGAUUAGCUAAUACCGCAUACGCCCUGAGGGAAGAAAGUAGGGGAUCUUCGGACCUUACGUUAUAAGAGCGG
rnacentral:rRNA from 1 species